GACUGCGAACGGCCAAAGCUCGCCGCAAGGCGUGGCUGGGCUGGCGCGUCCUAUCUUCGGAUAGUGGCCCUCGCUCGCAAGGGUGGGGUGUUCCGCUUCCGAUCAUUUACUUUGAAAAAAUUAGAGUGUUCAAAGCAGGCGUCAAGCCAUUGAAUAUUACAGCAUGGGAUAAUAGAAUAUGACGUUGGUCUUAUUUUGUUGGUUUCUAAGGCUGAUGUA
rnacentral:rRNA from 1 species